GGGACUGCGGAAGGAUCAUUG
rnacentral:rRNA from 1 species